CGAUAGCCAUAUCAGAGUACGACAGCGUUUUGAUGCCCCACGUAAAACACAUAAGAGCCCCGACCCUCGCCCCCAUCUUACCUCCAUUCCCGGCUGGACGUCGGCCCCAUCUUCCGAGGCCUGCUGCACGUGCAGCACAUGGAUGGGAACAUGACAAUUAGCAUCAGGAACAAGAAAGAGGGCAACGGGUAACGAAUACACAACGAAACACACAAACGUGGCACAGAUGUGGCCCACCACUACCUGCCUACAUCAAACAAAUCUGCCGUACUCCGAUAGCCAUAUCGUAGUACGACAGCGUCUUGAUGCCCCACGUAAAACACAUAAGAGCCCCGACCCUCGCCCCCAUCUUACCUCCAUUCCCGGUUGGACGUUGGCCCCAUCUUCCGAGGCCUGCUGCACGUGCAGCACAUGGAUGGGAACAUGACAAUUAGGGCAGGCACGUCAAUGGCGGAGGCGAAACAUACACGCCCCCCUCCCCCAACCAGCCCCAGCCACCCUCCAUAGCAUCAGGAACAAGAAAGAGGGCAACAGGUAACGAUUCCACAACGAAACACACAACCGUGGCACAGAUGUGGCCCACCACUACCUGCCUACAUCAAACAAAUCUGCCGUACUCCGAUAGCCAUAUCAGAGUACGACAGCGUUUUGAUGCCCCACGUAAAACACAUAAGAGCCCCGACCCUCGCCCCCAUCUUACCUCCAUUCCCGGCUGGACGUCGGCCCCAUCUUCCGAGGCCUGCUGCACGUGCAGCACAUGGAUGGGAACAUGACAAUUAGCAUCAGGAACAAGAAAGAGGGCAACGGGUAACGAAUACACAACGAAACACACAAACGUGGCACAGAUGUGGCCCACCACUACCUGCCUACAUCAAACAAAUCUGCCGUACUCCGAUAGCCAUAUCGUAGUACGACAGCGUCUUGAUGCCCCACGUAAAACACAUAAGAGCCCCGACCCUCGCCCCCAUCUUACCUCCAUUCCCGGUUGGACGUUGGCCCCAUCUUCCGAGGCCUGCUGCACGUGCAGCACAUGGAUGGGAACAUGACAAUUAGGGCAGGCACGUCAAUGGCGGAGGCGAAACAUACACGCCCCCCUCCCCCAACCAGCCCCAGCCACCCUCCAUAGCAUCAGGAACAAGAAAGAGGGCAACGGGUAACGAUUCUACAACGAAACACACAACCGUGGCACAGAUGUGGCCCACCACUAUCUGCCUACAUCAAACAAAUCUGCCGUACUCCGAUAGCCAUAUCGGAGUACGACAGCAUUUUGAUGGCCCAUGAAAAACACAUAAGAGCCCCGACCCCCGCCCCCAUCUUACCUCCAUUCCCGGCUGGACGUCGGCCCCAUCUUCCGAGGCCUGCUGCACGUGCAGCACAUGGAUGGGAACAUGACAAUUAGGGCAGGCACGUCAAUGGCGGAGGCGAAACAUACACGCCCCCCUCCCCCAACCAGCCCCAGCCACCCUCCAUAGCAUCAGGAACAAGAAAGAGGGCAACGGGUAACGAUUCCACAACGAAACACACAACCGUGGCGCAGAUGUGGCCCACCACUACCUGCCUACAUUGGGACAUUGGACAUUGAAGCCAUAAUAGCCAAAGCACAUUGGGAAGCAUGAAUAUAGCCGGUGAACUUAUCAUAAGUGAAAUUUAGGUUACUUAGGGUGUUUGCCACUUGUUUUGGUGCUCCGAUGUAACAUGACCAUUGGUAGUCAUGGUCAUGGCCCAAAGGAACGCCGAUUGUUCCAGCACAAAGUAGAAUAUAGUUGAUGAACAAAUAAGUACAUAGGCAAGGUUACCCGAGGACAACGUCGAUCGACCUGGUCGACCAGGUCCGCCAAUGUAGUGGGUCCAUGCCACAAUAUCCGAAAGUCAGCUGAAAUCAUUUAAAACCUUGUCAGGUUUACUGAACAAAAUUACGACCGACGAGGUUUCCAUGCAAUUGGCUGACAUAACCCACGUCAAAAGUAACCUCAUCCAGACAACCGUCCCGUAGCUGCUGAGCCUUGGGCGCUACACGUCUCUGGACUGCCAAAUGGCCGUAGGUAGAGAGCAAAUCGUAAGGACAAAUAAUGCCUCCCUACACUCAUAUUUGAUGGCAAACAUGUUAACUAACCUCGUCAUAACAUUUCACACACUCAGCGCGCAUAUCUGUGCCUAAUUAUGACACUUUCAAGGUUGCACAUUUAUCAAGCUUCUAGCUGGCGAGUAACCUGUCCAGACAACUGCCCCGUAGCUACCGAGCCUGACGAGUUACACGUCUCCAGACUGCCAUAGGGAGGGCAGUUGCCGUCUCCGCCUCGUCCGUAAAGUUUCUUUAGUUUAGCAUUAAAUAGCAGCCUGUAUCGAGCUUUCAGUACUUGCAGUUUGAGCCAGUGUGGCAUCUUUGUGUUACUAAGGAAGGAAUUGCUAGAUUCGGGGUCUAACUUCGAGGCAGUGUUACGCCAUUUUUCAGUUAGUAUUGUGUCGUUGGUAUAGCCUGCGAAGGUACCUUGCUGGAGACGCUUAUAAAGGCCUUUGUUCAGGUCACUAAUGUAAAGACCAGUGUCGCGUUGUUUCAGCCAGAACACUUUAUCGAACGGGGCAUUGUCGGCCUUUUCAGUAAAUGUUGCUGGGUUCUCACCUCGUGCGACAGAUGUUGC
rnacentral:lncRNA from 1 species